CCUACGGGAGGCAGCAGUGGGGAAUAUUGCACAAUGGGGGAAACCCUGAUGCAGCGACGCCGCGUGAGGGAAGAAGUAAUUCGGUAUGUAAAGCUCUAUCAGCAGGGAAGAAAAUGACGGUACCUGAGUAAGAAGCCCCGGCUAACUACGUGCCAGCAGCCGCGGUAAUACGUAGGGGGCAAGCGUUAUCCGGAUUUACUGGGUGUAAAGGGAGCGUAGACGGAAGAGCAAGUCUGAAGUGAAAGGCGGGGGCUCAACCCCGGGACUGCUCUGGAAACUGUUCGGCUGGAGUGCAGGAGAGGUAAGUGGAAUUCCUAGUGUAGCGGUGAAAUGCGUAGAUAUUAGGAGGAACACCAGUGGCGAAGGCGGCUUACUGGACUGUAACUGACGUUGAGGCUCGAAAGCGUGGGGAGCAAACAGGAUUAGAUACCCGUGUAGUC
rnacentral:rRNA from 1 species